AUCCUAGCAUUUUGGGAGGCCGAGACGGGUGGAUUGCCUGAGCUCAGGAGUUCGAGACCAGCCUGGGCAACAUGGUGAAACUGUGUCUCUACUAAAAUACGAAAAAUUAGCUGGGCAUGGUGGUACACACCUGUAAUCCCAGCUACUGGGGAGGCUGAGACUGGAGAAUCGCUUGAACCAGGAGGCAGAUGUUGCAGUGAGCUGAGAUCGCACCACUGCAUUCCAGCCCGGGCGACAGAGCGAGACUCUCUAUCCAAAAAAAAAAAAAGGUUGUGUCACACCUUUUCCUGAACUUUGGCUCAAUUGAAGAAGGAAACUUUCAGGGGAAUUCCAAUAGUAAACAACAGAACCAGCAGUUUUACAAUAAACUGCAGAGCUCCAUUUCAAAACACAAAAAUAGAGCGUCUCUGCAGUGAUGUACUGCCUUAAGGAAGGGUGAUAUGCCUGCUUCCACUUCGCCUUCAGCCAUGAUUGCAAGUUUCCUGACACUUCCCUAGAAGCUGGGCAGAUGCUAGCAGAUGCUUCCUGUACAGCCUACAAAACUGUGAGCCAAUUUAACUCCUGUUCUUUACAAAUUACUUAGUCUCAGGUGUUUAUAGCAAUGCAAGAAUGGACUAAUGCGGACAGUAAUAUCUAAUACUAUGUAAAUAGUUGUUGUAACUGUAUUGUUUAAGGAAGAAUGACAAGAAACCAAUCUAUACAUGUUCAGUACAGAUGUAAUUUUUUAAAAAUAUUUUUGAUCCACCAUUGGUUGAAUCUGUGGAUGCAGAACUCACAGAUAUGGAGGCCCUACUCCUUA
rnacentral:lncRNA from 1 species